AUUGAACGCUGGCGGCAGGCUUAACACAUGCAAGUCGAGCGGGGUGAUGGUGCUUGCACUAUCACUUAGCGGCGGACGGGUGAGUAAUGCUUAGGAAUCUGCCUAUUAGUGGGGGACAACAUCUCGAAAGGGAUGCUAAUACCGCAUACGUCCUACGGGAGAAAGCAGGGGAUCACUUGUGACCUUGCGCUAAUAGAUGAGCCUAAUUCGGAUUAGCUGGUUGGUGGGGUAAAGGCCUACCAAGGCGACGAUCUGUAGCGGGUCUGAGAGGAUGAUCCGCCACACUGGGACUGAGACACGGCCCAGACUCCUACGGGAGGCAGCAGUGGGGAAUAUUGGACAAUGGGGGGAACCCUGAUCCAGCCAUGCCGCGUGUGUGAAGAAGGCCUUAUGGUUGUAAAGCACUUUAAGCGAGGAGGAGGCUCUUUUGGUUAAUACCCAAGAUGAGUGGACGUUACUCGCAGAAUAAGCACCGGCUAACUCUGUGCCAGCCGCCGCGGUAA
rnacentral:rRNA from 1 species